rnacentral:rRNA from 1 species
ACUUUUAAUAACAGAUCUCUUAGUUCUAGCAUUAAUAAAGAACGCAGCGAAAUGCGAUAAGUAGUGUGAAUUGUAGAAUUUAGUAAAUUAUUAAAUCUUUAAACGCACAUUACGCCCCUUAGUAUUCUAUAGGGCAUGCCUGUUUAAGCGUUAUUUGUACCCUUAAGCUCUGCUUGGUGUUAGGUGUUUGUUCUACUUAGGACUUGCCUUAAAACAAUUGGCAGCUAGCACAUUGGCCUAGAGCGCAGCACAUUUUACGCCUCUUGUUAUAGUUGUUAGCAUCUAUUAAGACACUUUUUAAGCUCUUAACCUUAGAUUAGGUAGGGAUACCCGCUGAACUUAAGCAUAUUAAUAAGCGGAGGAAAAGAAACUAAUAGGGAUUGCCCUAGUAACAGCGAGUGAAGCGGCAAUAGCUUAAAUUUAAAAUCUAGCUCUUUUAGGGUCUGAGUUGUAAUUUGCAGAGGGCGCUUUAGCGUUAGUAGCGGUCCAAGUUCCUUAGAACAGGACGUUACAGAGGGUAAGAAUCCUGUACGUAGUUGCUGGCCUUCGCCGUGUAAAGCCCCUUUAACGAGUUAAGUUAUUUAGGAAUGUAGCUCUAAAUAGGAGGUAAAUUUCUUCUAAAGCUAAAUACUAGCUAGAGACUAAUAGCGCACAAGUAGAGUAAUUAAAAGAUAAAAAGCACUUUAGAAAGAGAGUUAAAUAGCACGUGAAAUUGUUAAAAGGGAAGCGCUUGCAGCUAGACUUGCCUGUAGUUACUUAUCUAGGCUUUUGUCUAGUGCACUCUUCUAUAGGCAGGCUAGUAUUAGUUUAGGCAGUUAGAUAAAGGUCUCUAUUACGUACCUCCCUUUAGGGAGGCCUUAUAGGGGAGACGACAUGUAACUAGCCUAGACUAAGGUCCGCGCAUCUGCUAGGAUGCUGGCGUAAUAGCUAUAAGCGGCCUGUCUUGAAACAUAGACUAAGGAGUCUAACAUCUAUGCAAGUGUUUAGGUGUUAAGCCUAGACGCGUAAUAAAAGUGAAUAGAGGUAGGACCCCUUUUAGGGUGCACUAUUAACCAAUCCUAAUAUCUUUAGAAGGAUUUAAGUAAGAGCAUAGCUAUUAGGACCUAAAAGAUAGUGAACUAUGCUUAAAUAGGGUGAAGCUAGAGGAAACUCUAGUAGAGGCUCGCAGCGGUUCUAACGUGCAAAUUAAUUGUUAAAUUUAGGCAUAGGGGCGAAAGACUAAUUAAACUAUCUAGUAGCUAGUUCCUACCAAAGUUUCCCUUAGGAUAGUAGUAACGUAUUUAGUUUUAUAAGGUAAAGUGAAUAAUUAGAGGCCUAGGGGUUAAAAUAACCUUUACCUAUUCUUAAACUUUAAAUAUGUAAGAAGUCCUUGUUACUUAAUUAAACGUGGACACUUAAAUGUACUGUUACUAGUAGGCCAUUUUUGGUAAGCAGAACUAGCGAUGCGGGAUAAACCAAACGCGGGGUUAAGGUGCUAGAAUGCACGCUUAUUAGACACCACAAAAGGUGUUAGUUUAUCUAGACAGCAGGACGGUAGCUAUGGAAGUUAGAAUCUGCUAAGGAGUGUGUAAUAACUUACCUGCUAAAUAAACUAGCCCUAAAAAUAGAUAGCGCUUAAGCGUGUUACCUAUACCCCGCCGCCGGGGCAAGAUUUAAGCCCUAGCGAGUAGGCAGGCGUAGAGGCUUAUAACAAAGCCUUAGGGGUAACCCUAGGUAGAACGGCCUCUAGUAUAGAUCUUAGUAGUAGUAGCAAAUACUUAAAUAAGAACUUUAAGGACUAAAGUAGGGAAAGGUUCUGUGUGAAUAGCAGUUAGACACAGGUUAGUUAAUCCUAAGAGAUAGGGUAAUUCUGUUUUAAUGUUGGCGCUUGCGCCGCGCCCUUAAAAGGGAAGCUAGUUAAUAUUCUAGCACCUAGAUAUAGAUUCUCCGCGGCAACGCAACUAAGAGUGGAGACCUUAGCAGGAGCCCUAAGAAGAGUUCUCUUUUCUUCUUAACGGUCUGUUACCCUAAAAUUGGUUUGUCUAGAGCUAGGGUUUAAUGGCUAGAAGAGCGCUGUACUUUUGCGGCGUUUAGUGCGCUCCUAACAAGCCUUAAAAAUCUGCUUAAAGAAAUAGUUUUUACGCUAGGUCGUACUUAUAACCGCAGCAGGUCUCUAAGGUGAAAAGCCUCUAGUUAAUAGAACAAUAUAGAUAAGGGAAGUUAGUAAAAUAGAUCUAUAACUUUAGGAAAAGGAUUAGCUCUAAGGGUUAGGUACGUUAGGCCUUAGGGAGAAGCCUCUAGCGUAGAAGGGCACUAACCGCAAGGUAGGCGCCUCUUAGCGCUAGGGUGUAGACACCCUUAGCAGGUUUUGGCCGUCUAGCGUACGUUUAACAACUAACUUAGAACUAGUAUAGAUAAGGGGAAUCUAACUAUCUAAUUAAAACAUAGCAUUGUAAUAGCUAGAAAGUAGUGUUAAUGCAAUGUAAUUUCUGCCUAGUGCUCUAAAUAUUAAAGCGAAGAGAUUUAACCAAGCGCGGGUAAAUGGCGGGAGUAACUAUAACUCUCUUAAGGUAGCUAAAUGCCUUGUUAUCUAAUUAGUAACGCGCAUAAAUAGAUUAACAAGAUUCCUACUGUCCCUAUCUACUAUCUAGCAAAACCACAGCUAAGGGAACGGGCUUAGCUAAAUUAGUGGGGAAAGAAGACCCUGUUAAGCUUAACUCUAGUUUAACAUUAUAAAAAGAUAUAGGGGGUGUAGAAUAGGUAGGAGCUUUAGCGCUAGUGAAAUACUACUACCCUUAUCGUUUUUUACUUAUUCGAUGAAGCGGAGCUAGGCCUUACUACCUAACUUCUAGCGUUUAAGGUCCUUUGUGGGCUAAUCUAGGUUAAAGAUAUUGUUAGGUAGGGAGUUUGGCUAGGGCGGCACAUCUAUUAAACCAUAACGCAGGUGUCCUAAGGGGGACUUAUAGAGAAUAGAAAUCUCUAGUAGAGCAAAAGGGUAAAAGUCCCCUUAAUUUUGAUUUUUAGUGUGAAUACAAACCAUAAAAGUGUAGCCUAUUAAUCCUUUAGUCCCUUAAAAUUUGAGGCUAGAGGUGCUAGAAAAGUUACCACAGGGAUAACUAGCUUGUGGUAGCCAAGCGUUCAUAGCGACGUUGCUUUUUGAUCCUUCGAUGUCGGCUCUUCCUAUUAUACUAAAGCAGAAUUUAGUAAGCGUUGGAUUGUUCACCCACUAAUAGGGAAUGUGAGCUAGGUUUAGACCAUCAUAAGAUAGGUUAGUUUUACCCUACUAAUGACCUUGCCCCAAUAGUAAUACUGCUUAGUACGAGAGGAACCGCGGUUUUAGAUAAUUGGUUUUUGUGGCUGUCUAACUAGGCAUUGCCGCGAAGCUACCAUCUGCUAGAUUAUGGCUAAACGCCUCUAAGUCAGAAUCUAUGCCAGAACAGGGUAAUUUCCGCCUGCACUAGUUAGAUACAAAUAGGCCUUUGGCCUAGAACCUUACUAGAUCGGCGUUAGCAGCCCUAUUAAAGUUAGAGUUAUUAGCUAGUGUAUUGCAAUUGU